CGCAUGGGUAGGAGAUGGACACAAAAUCGAUACCCUCAGAAAAUGCCUCCGAAGGCCCGUCAGGUGCACUUAAACUACGGAGGGAAAUUGCUGAACGGCGUGCGGACUUCUGCUUAACAGUCAAAAAUGUCAUGGAUUUAGAGAAGGACAAUUUUUUUCUGAGAAGUCAGCAAGUACAUUUUGGGAUCCCAUUUACAAUAAGGUCUCCAAACAGAAGAUUUAUCUGAGAAAACGUUCUAGCAGCUCCGAAUUAUGGCAGUUGUUAAUGAGAACAAAAAUGUAUUUAUUCAGCCAGAGCUGUGCACCAAAAAAAUUAGAGUUGGGAAGAGAAAGAAGCUGGGCAAACCCCAAUCCUUGCUGUGAGACUGCGGAGGGGAGAAGCAAACGUCUAGCAGGGAUUGUUCCAGCUGGUGUUCGGCAACCCGGUGUACCUGCAACAAGCAAGCUGGCCCCUACCUUCUGCUUAGCAAGCCAACUAAUAGUUAGCCAGCAUUGCCUCCAAUUACAACAGGUACUGUGGCUUGAUAUCUGAGGUUUGUUCUCUUAAACUACCUGCAGCUCUCCCGCCCAGCACUCCAGUGAAUGACAGCACUGCUGCUCCUUCUCACAGAGAGAUGUGUCGGCCAGAGUAGAAAAUCCAGAACUCUUGAACCUCUCUAUCUGACAUCUACACAAACUGUUCAGCAGUGGGAGACAGGCAGCCAUACCUAUUCCCAGCAGUUACAGCACCAAAAAAGCAGUUGCUUUUUUGGCACCUUCUCUCACGAUCAGCUGAGCUUAAGAAAAACUAAAGAAAAAAUCAUAAAAAAGUUGGUUGGAAGGAGCCUCAACCUGAUGCUUGGACCAGGACUGACAGCAGGAGUAACUCAAGGCAGCCUAUUGUAUGCAAAUAGCCAUUAACCAUGGAUCCUCAAAGCCAGACUUAUUUUCAUUGCGGAUUUUCAACCCUGCUACAGCAGCACAGCAUUCCUAAAGCAGGAGCAGAGGUUGUAGCUGAAGAUAAAGUGUGGUGGCCUGCGUCAUCCCGUCCAGUUCCAGUGCCACUAAUAACUCACGUGAGUAACAGAAACACUUGGGCUCCUCUGACGAAAUGUGACGAAGGAACAGAAGUGACGUGGAGAACAACGUUCAUCUCUGUGAUGUCCCGUCUGUGGUCCAUCUGCCUCUGAAUGCCACACAGCAUCCUCAGCACCACUCAGGAAUUUCCUGAGCUGUUGCAAAGACUUUCCUCCCAAGUCUGGUUUGCUAGACUGCAAAAUUUAACUGAAGCUGAGAACAGACCGGCAACAUCAUGAAAUUCCCAACAAAAUGAACCGGUCCAGCCAGUGCCAGCUGCCGACGGGCUGAGUUUGGGGCUGCGUUAACUUCCGAUAACAGAAGACGUGGUCUGACAGUGAGCCAGCCACAGAACCUACCCGACGUCGUGCCAGACCUCCCACCAGCUUCUCAGCUCUGCCUUCAACAUAUGCUGGCUUCCCACUGGCAAGGGUCACUGUGACUACUGAAGGACUCCUUGUCUCCGUAGGAGAAAGCAGCUGAAGUCCAUCGACGGUUAAAGGCAACUCACCAAGUCUUUCAUAGUAGACUACUGGAGUCUGGACUUACAUCUAUUAGAGGUGAUGGCAUGUUCCUUCUGUAAGGAGAAGACAACAUAUAAAGAAGAGGCCAGUGUUCCUGUACAGGCAAAUCUUGUCACUGAUCUCCAGGAACAAUAAGCCCUUGAAGACAGACUGGUUCCGGUUGGAAGGGACCUCUGGACACCACCUGGUCCACCCCUCUCCCCACUGAAGCGUGGUCACCAUGUCCAAGAGGGCUUUUGGACAUGUCCAAGGUCAGAGACUCCACCACCUCUCCCUGCUGGUGCGGCGCAGAGGGAAGCAGCUCGAUGUCAUGCAGCUGGAGUGAAGCCUUUUCUUCCUCCAGUUGGUGCUACUCUAUGGAGAACAAAACAAACCAGGAUGAGGCGUUAGACCUCUGGAAUUACGGCCACUUGAGUGAUGUUUGGGAAAGCAGGUACCUGUGCCAGCAUCAUGUUUCUUCAUGUUAAACUCAAUCAAGAACAUACUGUGAUUGAAAAUAUUUUCCCCCCCGCCACGUGCAAAUCAGGCCUGUGGUCCAUCACCCUACAUAACACCACUAGUGCAGCUGUGGGUAAAGAGAAGGAUGAAGUGUCAGUAGUGGAAACAGCAGCUGGGAAUGCUCUGCAUUUCAGUCAUCAUCACACCACAGCCCAGACACCAGAGGUAAAGCCACAGUCUCUGCUAGCUCUAAAAUGAUCUGCUUUUCACUGGCAAGGAACUAAAAUGUUUACAGUGAAAAAAAAAAGCUUAGAAUUUCCUUUCAAAGCAUAAUUAACUAAGCAAUUCACAACAACUGUUUUGUUUUUUCUGUACUCACCAUUCAGUAAUUACCACUUUGAAAAAAAAUAAUGGUUCUUUAAUGUGAGCUCCUGACAGCAAAGGCGCAGGGGAACUGACAUCCAAAGUUGUCAUCUGGUCUGGCUCACUGAUUUCUCCAGCACAACAUACAGCGUGGACUUAGGCGAUCACGAGGGUGAGCUGCAAAGAAGCCGACACGUAAAGGAGAACAAGCAUAACCUGGAAAACUACAGCAAAGAGCUUAUAACACUGCACCAUGAGAGAGAUUUACCAGAGAAGGACUACUUUGCAGGUGGAAAUGAUUUAUGUGCCAAAACGGAGAAAAUAACACUGAGGGAAGAAGGAAAAACAAAACAAAAGGAGGAAGAUGUGAUAAUAUGAAAGACAGCCCACAGAAUAAAGGAAGGGAAGGAAGUGAAAUGGCAAACUGAGAAGCAGAAAUCUCAAUCUUAUUGGAAAUCUAGCUGUGGAACAGGAAAGCUAAGACACAGGUACACUUACCCUGGGAGCUGGUAUUUCUGUACCCAGAAGUACUGCCUUCACGUGGAUGACAGCCAUCUGGGUGAUGACUGACGUUUCUCCAUGGCUUUUUGCCUUGUAUAAACACAUGGGGAAAUUCUGUAAAAGAAAGUAAAUCAGAAAACACUGAAUUCCUUCAGGUGCAGGUAUGAGUAGAAAACACAUUCUGCAUUUCCACUUCCAAUCAAGGAAUCAAAUGCAUCUGAGUGACUUCAAAAAGCCAAUGCACAAUGGCAGCUGGUUCCAAGCUAUCCAGGAGGAGGCUAGGAGAUAAACAUCACCCUUUCUUCUGGACACUGUAAAAAUGUCUGUACAAUAAUUUACUCCGUCACCAACAGUAACCUGACCUCUUUUUUGAAGAGCAUGAGAAAAUGUGUUAAUGAAGAACAUCUCAGAAGCCCCAUAUAUCUAUUUCAAUACCUUUGUUUGAACUGGAGACAAGUUCGAGGACGACUGUGUGUGUACCCGUGGAGGUGAGCAUAGGCUGCUGUGAAAAGCUCAGUCUCCUUAACGAUACUCUGUAAAAUAAAAGGUAAGAAAGAACUGAAAUAGAAGUUGGCUUCAGAAAUCUCCUGUGGUACCUUAUCCUUGAACUGAAAUUCCACAGAAAUUUAGCAAUAGGUAGUCAUCAGAAAUACAACAUAGAUGCAUGACUGGACAAUAAUCUAACAAAAGGGAGCUACUGCACUAGCAUUUCAUAAUAAUUGAAGAGUAAUUGUAAAAAUUCUUAUGCAAGUGCUAUUGGAUACUAGAAUUCCCACUGCACAGUUUAUUUAAAAAUGAGGAAUCCUGUGGAAAAAAGGCCAAUUUUUGUCCCAGAUUUUGGAAGAUGAUGGUAGAUAUUUAUAUGGCAGAAUUAAUCACAGAUGUUUUGCUCAGAACACGAAAUAAA